rnacentral:ncRNA from 1 species
AGUUAUCGAAGGAUAGUAAGCCUUAAUUCAUAACU